CAGAGAAUAAUUUAAAUAGAAUAUUAGCUUUGGGGGCUAGAAGUGGAAGAAAUUUCUUCUUUGA
rnacentral:tRNA from 1 species